rnacentral:lncRNA from 1 species
AACGUGAACUCACACAGCAAAGCCACAUGACUCGUAGCAUUGCUUCUGCCACCAACAAAUUUUGAGAUGUAAUCAGCUUUUCUUUUUAUUAUUAUUUUUCUUUGUUUGCUUGUUUGUUUUCCUCAGCCAUGUCCAUUGAACUACAUCUAAUAUUCUGCAUGACACAUAGCAUCUGGGAUUGCAAAGAGAAAAGGGAUAAAGAGGCACAGAAAAGAACACACCAGGAGCGACACACAACACCCCAGGCUGGAGAAUAAAUGGGAAGAUGGAGUGUGUCCAAAAGGCGUCCAUACCACAGAAACACCCGCCUCCAUCCAGGCAUGGUGACACAGCCUACAAAUGUCACCCAAAUGUACAGUCCUGGGCCAGCUGGGUAAAUUAUCAACAGAGUCAGCACUCAUCUUAAACUUUAUUGCUAGCCCUCAAAAGACUGUUUCAUAAAGACCAGCUUUGUGCUAACAAUGGC